rnacentral:rRNA from 1 species
CGAAUGCUGACAUAAGUAACGAUAAAGCGGGUGAAAAGCCCGCUCGCCGGAAGACCAAGGGUUCCUGUCCAACGUUAAUCGGGGCAGGGUGAGUCGACCCCUAAGGCGAGGCCGAAAGGCGUAGUCGAUGGGAAACAGGUUAAUAUUCCUGUACUUGGUGUUACUGCGAAGGGGGGACGGAGAAGGCUAUGUUGGCCGGGCGACGGUUGUCCCGGUUUAAGCGUGUAGGCUGGUUUUCCAGGCAAAUCCGGAAAAUCAAGGCUGAGGCGUGAUGACGAGGCACUACGGUGCUGAAGCAACAAAUGCCCUGCUUCCAGGAAAAGCCUCUAAGCAUCAGGUAACAUCAAAUCGUACCCCAAACCGACACAGGUGGUCAGGUAGAGAAUACCAAGGCGCUUGAGAG